ACUCUCCAUUUUUGCACAGGAAAGGGAAAUACGCACGGAGCUGGGAUGAGACCCCCAUCAGCAUCCUCCUUCAAGUCCAGAAAAUGGCCAUGGUGGCUCCCACGCCCCGAAGGGAGGUCAGGAGUCUGGGAAGCCGGUCCCUGCCCCGGGAGGGCAGCAGCAGCCCCCGCAGCACACGAGCUGAAGCUGCGUUUUGCCUCCCUUCUCUAACAGGACUGUUAACAGGCCGUGACACCGAAAUUCAGCCCAGUUCAUUAGUGCUACGUUCCUUCCUUCAGGAUUGAUCUACCUUAUUUGUUUGUCUCUGCCGUUGUUAGCAGGGACGAUUGUUUGCAUAAUUUUGCAAAAUGUUCUCUGUUCGUUCAAGAAGCCGUAAGAGUAAAAGGCAAUUGCCUGCACCGCCAGCAUCCUCAGAGCCCCGUAACCUGGGGCUGCCUCUGCUUCCCUGCCGGAGGACGCCGUCAGCCCGGCCACUGGGGCGGCGGGUGCACGUGUGAGUUGGAAUCAGGCGUGGGAAUGACCCUCCAGGCUCUUGAGGUUUUGGAGGCAGUGACUAUCCCCUCUGAGCCCCAGUGGCUGCUCUCUAUUCCAGUCUGAUGCCACUGAAUGGUUGGAAAUGAUGGCUGGGACUGACCUGCUCCAUGAGACUGCCCCACGGCCGCUGCAAUGAGAGGUUCCCAUCGGCUGCUGCAAGGCUGGGAACUGGCUCUUGGUGUUUGCAGAAGGAGAGGGAUUCCCUCAUUCCCACCGUCACCUCAGAAAUAAACCCUCGUUAUGGGUUCGUACCUGGGGAGGAAGAAACUGAUUUCCACUCCCGGCCAGUUCAGGACAGAUAUUUGAAGGUCCAUGCACCAAUCCCAGGGAACGUGCCCCCGACAACUGGAGUUUGCAGGAUGGUUGUUACUGGCCCUGGUCCUGCCUCCCUGCUUAGCAGUUCCCGCACGCCUCCGCCAAAUCCAAGCAGAGGUAAAUCGCUGAAUCACAGAAAAAGCCAAUCACGAGGCAGACCAAGGGCUCGGGUCUGGCUUCUCACGUGAUGGAUGGGUUAUUUUGUACCAAGGCACUGCGAUGCUGAAGUGGGGGUUGUGACCACACUCGUUUUUUGAAUGAAGAACGAUGAAGGGCCUGAUUUUCACUGUCACAGAGAACUCCUGAAGGGCUCAAACUUUUCUAAUUUUCCUACUAGCCCUACUCACAGUUCUCGCUAGGGCACAAUCCCAGUUCAGCCUGAAAGUCCCCGUAAACCCACGUAGUCCGGCUCCACGUGGGGACAGAUGGUCAGAAAGCUUCGGUGACCACCAGCACCAGCUCCACGCGUGGCCGGAGCGCAGAGGGGGACGCCGCUGGGUGACGCGUGGCGGGGGGCCGAGCGGGCUGCGGACGCUGAGGUUUCUGCGGGGGUUAAACAGCAGCACUUGCAGCAUGCAGACGCGGUGGCACAGCCGUCUCCUACCAGAGGCUCGGGAAGAAGGAAGCCGUACUCCUCGGAGAGCUGAAACCUGGUCAGUGCCAGAGGCAGCAGGGUCUCCUCCGUGCCGUCGCAGGCCUC